GACGAACGCUGGCGGCGUGCUUAACACAUGCAAGUCGAACGGAAAGGCUCCAGCUUGCUGGAGUACUCGAGUGGCGAACGGGUGAGUAACACGUGGGUAAUCUGCCCUGCACUCUGGGAUAAGCCUGGGAAACUGGGUCUAAUACUGGAUAUGACCUUUCUCCUUAUGGGGUUUGGUGGAAAGUUUUUCGGUGUAGGAUGAGCCCGCGGCCUAUCAGCUUGUUGGUGGGGUGAUGGCCUACCAAGGCGACGACGGGUAGCCGGCCUGAGAGGGUGAUCGGCCACAUUGGGACUGAGAUACGGCCCAGACUCCUACGGGAGGCAGCAGUGGGGAAUAUUGCACAAUGGGCGGAAGCCUGAUGCAGCGACGCCGCGUGAGGGAUGACGGCCUUCGGGUUGUAAACCUCUUUCAGCAGGGACGAAGCGUAAGUGGCGGUACCUGCAGAAGAAGCACCGGCUAACUACGUG
rnacentral:rRNA from 1 species